UACGUAGGGUGCAAGCGUUGUCCGGAAUUAUUGGGCGUAAAGAGCUCGUAGGCGGUCUGUCGCGUCGGCUGUGAAAACUCGGGGGCUCAACCCCGAGCCUGCAGUCGAUACGGGCAGACUAGAGUGCGGUAGGGGAGACUGGAAUUCCUGGUGUAGCGGUGAAAUGCGCAGAUAUCAGGAGGAACACCGGUGGCGAAGGCGGGUCUCUGGGCCGUAACUGACGCUGAGGAGCGAAAGCGUGGGGAGCAAACAGG
rnacentral:rRNA from 1 species